rnacentral:rRNA from 1 species
CGGGGACUUGGUCUUUGGGUGGCGCAGCUAACGCAUUAAGUUAUCCGCCUGGGGAGUACGGCCGCAAGGUUAAAACUCAAAUGAAUUGACGGGGGCCUGCACAAGCGGUGGAGCAUGUGGUUUAAUUCGAAGCAACGCGCAGAACCUUACCAGCGUUUGACAUGUCCGGACGAUUUCUGGAGACAGAUCUCUUCCCUUCGGGGACUGGAACACAGGUGCUGCAUGGCUGUCGUCAUCUCGUGUCGUGAGAUGUUGGGUUAAGUCCCGCAACGAGCGCAACCCUCGCCUUUAGUUACCAUCAUUUAGUUGGGGACUCUAAAGGAACCGCCGGUGAUAAGCCGGAGGAAGGUGGGGAUGACGUCAAGUCCUCAUGGCCCUUACGCGCUGGGCUACACACGUGCUACAAUGGCGGUGACAGUGGGCAGCAAACUCGCGAGAGUGCGCUAAUCUCCAAAAGCCGUCUCAGUUCGGAUUGUUCUCUGCAACUCGAGAGCAUGAAGGCGGAAUCGCUAGUAAUCGCGGAUCAGCAUGCCGCGGUGAAUACGUUCCCAGGCCUUGUACACACCGCCCGUCACACCAUGGGAGUUGGGUUCACCCGAAG